rnacentral:rRNA from 1 species
CAUGCAGGCGGUCUGUUAAGUCAGAUGUGAAAGCCCCGGGCUUAACCUGGGAACUGCAUUUGAUACUGGCAGACUAGAGUCUGGUAGAGGGAAGUGGAAUUCCACAUGUAGCGGUGAAAUGCGUAGAGAUGUGGAGGAACACCAGCGGCGAAGGCGACUUCCUGGACCAAGACUGACGCUCAGAUGCGAAAGCGUGGGGAGCAAACA